AAAUUGAAGAGUUUGAUCAUGGCUCAGAUUGAACGCUGGCGGCAGGCCUAACACAUGCAAGUCGAGCGGUAGCACAGAGAGCUUGCUCUCGGGUGACGAGCGGCGGACGGGUGAGUAAUGUCUGGGAAACUGCCUGAUGGAGGGGGAUAACUACUGGAAACGGUAGCUAAUACCGCAUAACGUCGCAAGACCAAAGUGGGGGACCUUCGGGCCUCAUGCCAUCAGAUGUGCCCAGAUGGGAUUAGCUAGUAGGUGGGGUAAUGGCUCACCUAGGCGACGAUCCCUAGCUGGUCUGAGAGGAUGACCAGCCACACUGGAACUGAGACACGGUCCAGACUCCUACGGGAGGCAGCAGUGGGGAAUAUUGCACAAUGGGCGCAAGCCUGAUGCAGCCAUGCCGCGUGUGUGAAGAAGGCCUUCGGGUUGUAAAGCACUUUCAGCGGGGAGGAAGGCGUUAAGGUUAAUAACCUCAUCGAUUGACGUUACCCGCAGAAGAAGCACCGGCUAACUCCGUGCCAGCAGCCGCGGUAAUACGGAGGGUGCAAGCGUUAAUCGGAAUUACUGGGCGUAAAGCGCACGCAGGCGGUCUGUCAAGUCGGAUGUGAAAUCCCCGGGCUCAACCUGGGAACUGCAUUCGAAACUGGCAGGCUAGAGUCUUGUAGAGGGGGGUAGAAUUCCAGGUGUAGCGGUGAAAUGCGUAGAGAUCUGGAGGAAUACCGGUGGCGAAGGCGGCCCCCUGGACAAAGACUGACGCUCAGGUGCGAAAGCGUGGGGAGCAAACAGGAUUAGAUACCCUGGUAGUCCACGCCGUAAACGAUGUCGAUUUGGAGGUUGUGCCCUUGAGGCGUGGCUUCCGGAGCUAACGCGUUAAAUCGACCGCCUGGGGAGUACGGCCGCAAGGUUAAAACUCAAAUGAAUUGACGGGGGCCCGCACAAGCGGUGGAGCAUGUGGUUUAAUUCGAUGCAACGCGAAGAACCUUACCUGGUCUUGACAUCCACAGAACUUUCCAGAGAUGGAUUGGUGCCUUCGGGAACUGUGAGACAGGUGCUGCAUGGCUGUCGUCAGCUCGUGUUGUGAAAUGUUGGGUUAAGUCCCGCAACGAGCGCAACCCUUAUCCUUUGUUGCCAGCGGUUAGGCCGGGAACUCAAAGGAGACUGCCAGUGAUAAACUGGAGGAAGGUGGGGAUGACGUCAAGUCAUCAUGGCCCUUACGACCAGGGCUACACACGUGCUACAAUGGCAUAUACAAAGAGAAGCGACCUCGCGAGAGCAAGCGGACCUCAUAAAGUAUGUCGUAGUCCGGAUUGGAGUCUGCAACUCGACUCCAUGAAGUCGGAAUCGCUAGUAAUCGUAGAUCAGAAUGCUACGGUGAAUACGUUCCCGGGCCUUGUACACACCGCCCGUCACACCAUGGGAGUGGGUUGCAAAAGAAGUAGGUAGCUUAACCUUCGGGAGGGCGCUUACCACUUUGUGAUUCAUGACUGGGGUGAAGUCGUAACAAGGUAACCGUAGGGGAACCUGCGGUUGGAUCACCUCCUUACCUUAAAGAA
rnacentral:rRNA from 1 species